rnacentral:rRNA from 1 species
UGCCAGACUCCUACGGGAGGCAGCAGUGAGGAAUAUUGGUCAAUGGCCGGAAGGCUGAACCAGCCAAGCCGCGUGAAGGACGAAGGUGCCAAGCAUUGUAAACUUCUUUUGUCAAGGGACAAAAUCAGGCUCGAGAGCCUGACCGAGGGUACUUGAAGAAAAAGCAUCGGCUAACUCCGUGCCAGCAGCCGCGGUAAUACGGAGGAUGCGAGCGUUAUCCGGAUUUAUUGGGUUUAAAGGGUGCGCAGGCGGGAGAGGAAGUACAGGGUAAAAUUUGAGAGCCUCACCCUCUCCCCGCCGUUGAAACUGCGUUUCUUGAGUGGGCGAGAAGUACGCGGAAUGCGUGGUGUAGCGGUGAAAUGCAUAGAUAUCACGCAGAACUCCGAUUGCGAAGGCAGCGCACCGGCGCCCUACUGACGCUCAGGCACGAAAGCGUGGGUAUCGAACAGGAUUAGAUACCCUGGUAC